UACGUAGGGGGCAAGCGUUGUCCGGAUUUAUUGGGCGUAAAGAGCGUGUAGGCGGCCUGACAGGUCUGCUGUGAAAACUCGAGGCUCAACCUCGAGAUGUCGGCGGAAACCGUCUGGCUAGAGUCCGGAAGAGGAGAGUGGAAUUCCUGGUGUAGCGGUGAAAUGCGCAGAUAUCAGGAAGAACACCCGUGACGAAGGCGGCUCUCUGGUACGUGACUGACGCUGAGACGCGAAAGCGUGGGGAGCAAACAGG
rnacentral:rRNA from 1 species